AUUUACAUAAUAUAUAAAGUAUAUUUGACUUCCAAUCAAAAAGAUUAAAUUUUAAUGUAAAUA
rnacentral:tRNA from 1 species